rnacentral:sRNA from 1 species
GAUCCGAUUGCGGUUCUCGUUCUUAAACUCAAUCAUACACAUGACAUCAAGUCAUAUUUGAUUCCAAAACACUAACCAAGCUUCUUCUUGCUUCUCAAAGCUUUGAUGGUGUAGCUGAAGUCCAUAUGAGUCUUUGGAUUUGUAUCUUUUAACAAGGAAACACUACUUAGGCUUUUGAGAUCCUAUUGCGGUUCUAGUUCUUAAACUCAAUCAUACACAUGACAUCAAGUCAUAUUAGACUCCAAGACACUAAGCAAGCUUCUUCUUGCUUCUCAAAGCUUUAAUUGUGUAGCUGAAGUCUGUAUGAGUCUUUGGCUUUAUAUCUUCUAACAAGGAAACACUACUUAGGCUUUUAAGAUCCAGUUGCGGUUUUUGUUCUUAUACUCAAUCAUAAACAUGACAUCUAGUCAUAUUUGACUCUAAAACUUUAACCAAGCUUCUUCUUGCUUCUCAAAGCUUUGAUGGUGUAGCUGUAGUCCGUAUGACUCUUUGUCUUUGUAUCUUCUAACAAGGUUACAAUACUUAGGAUUUUAAGAUUCGGUUGCGGUUCUAGUUGUUAUACUCACUCAUACACAUGACAUCAAGCCAUAUUUGACUCCAAAACACUAACAAAGCUUCUUCUUGCUUCUCAAAGCUUUGAUGGUGUAGCCGUAGUCUGUAUGAGUCUUUGUCUUUGUAUCUUCUAACAAAAAAACACUA